AUCUUUAAUCUGGUGAAUGCGCUCUGAAUUUGCAAUUUUAACUUAGUCGAGCCAGUAACAGCUUGUUUUAUUUAAAAUAUUGUGUUAUUGGUGCGGUUCAUAAAAUUUCGAGACUGUUAAGAAAAGAGAUGUUUUAGUUGAGUGCCUAAUUUCCGAUGAUUGGUUCAAGGAUUGUGAAAGAAUAACGUAUUCGUUUAUUAAAAUUAUUUCCGAAUUAUAAAGUUCGAGCUAAUUCUGAUUUUAUAAAAAAGAAUUUGACUUAAAAAAUACACAAAGAUUCGAGGUCGCCUUCGUAAAAGAGUUCUACGAACAACCGCUACGGUGAUCUAACCGUUUACGAAGCUUGAAGUCGCGAUGCCGGCUACAGUAGAAGAUGAAGCGCCCAACAUCAUCAUCAAAGGCACGGCGCAAUGCGCGAUGUUGCUCUCGCAUAUUCAAAACAUCACCGACUCGACUCAACUCGUAGAGGGACCGACUGAAAUCCGUCAGUACCUCGGACUUUGGCUGAACCUCCCCUGACAAACUGACGUCAUGAGGCUCUGAAGAGGCAAUCUCCGCAUCAUGUGGGGUCCACGACAUCGGCGUACAUAACGGCAUCAUCUGACCAGGGCGACUUUACCGACGACAGCUUCUAAUACAUUAAUGUGUGUUUAUUUAAUAUUCGACAUUAUUAUAUAAUCUUCAUAGAUAAUAUCCCCGAUAUAAGUGCGCACUUAUGCAUAACGAAUAUAAUAAUUUUCGCCACGUGAUUUUGGUACAAGAGACGGAGACUAUCGUACACCUAAGUGCUUCACGGUAGUAUUUGUUUACGAGGAAUAUACAUCUUCUGUUUGGGCUUGCUGUAAAGUUCACGAUCACGAAAAGUUUUGCCUUAUUGG